rnacentral:tRNA from 1 species
GCGGAAGUGGCGGAAUUAGUAGACGCACCAGAUUUAGGUUCUGGCGCCGCAAGGUGUGAGAGUUCAAGUCUCUCCUUCCGCACCA